CGUUCAACCCGGCGUACGAGGACGCGUCGGUGCUGUGGACGGAGAGCAAGGACGUGGGCAAGGGUUUCCGCUGCAUCCGCAUGGUCAACAACACCCGCCUCAACUUCGACGCCCUCAACGGCGACAAGGACCACGGCGGCGUGCACGACGGCACCACCGUCGUGCUCUGGGAGUGGUGCAAGGGGGACAACCAGUGCUGGAAGAUCUGGCCGUGGGCCGAGGCGCACGCCGCCGUCGAGUCCGGCGCCACCAUGGGCAACAACGCCCACGCCAUGGGCGGCGGGCCCCCCGUGCACGCCGUGCGCAUCUUCUGCAAGGCCGGCGAGGACUACAGCCUCACCGCCCGCAACGGCACCGUCUGCCUCGCCC
rnacentral:lncRNA from 1 species